CCUACGGGGGGCAGCAGUGGGGAAUAUUGGACAAUGGGGGGAACCCUGAUCCAGCGACGCCGCGUGAGUGAAGAAGUAUUUCGGUAUGUAAAGCUCUAUCAGCAGGGAAGAAAAUGACGGUACCUGACUAAGAAGCCCCGGCUAACUACGUGCCAGCAGCCGCGGUAAUACGUAGGGGGCAAGCGUUAUCCGGAUUUACUGGGUGUAAAGGGAGCGUAGACGGCGUAGCAAGUCUGAUGUGAAAGGUCGGGGCUCAACCCCGGGACUGCAUUGGAAACUGUUGAGCUGGAGUACAGGAGAGGUAAGCGGAAUUCCUAGUGUAGCGGUGAAAGGCGUAGAUAUUAGGAGGAACACCAGUGGCGAAGGCGGCUUACUGGACUGUAACUGACGUUGAGGCACGAAAGCGUGGGGAGCAAACAGGAUUAGAUACCCGAGUAGUC
rnacentral:rRNA from 1 species